GAUGAACGCUGGCGGCGUGCUUAACACAUGCAAGUCGAACGGUGAACACGGAGCUUGCUCUGUGGGAUCAGUGGCGAACGGGUGAGUAACACGUGAGCAGCCUGCCCCUGACUCUGGGAUAAGCGCUGGAAACGGCGUCUAAUACUGGAUAUGUGACGUGACCGCAUGGUCUGCGUUUGGAAAGAUUUUUCGGUUGGGGAUGGGCUCGCGGCCUAUCAGCUUGUUGGUGAGGUAAUGGCUCACCAAGGCGUCGACGGGUAGCCGGCCUGAGAGGGUGACCGGCCACACUGGGACUGAGACACGGCCCAGACUCCUACGGGAGGCAGCAGUGGGGAAUAUUGCACAAUGGGCGCAAGCCUGAUGCAGCAACGCCGCGUGAGGGAUGACGGCCUUCGGGUUGUAAACCUCUUUUAGCGGGGAAGAAGCGAAAGUGACGGUACCUGCAGAAAAAGCGCCGGCUAACUACGUG
rnacentral:rRNA from 1 species